AGUCCAAUCCGAAUAUCGAAUCCAAACCGAGUAGAAUUUCUCUCAUCGUAUUAUAUGAACGAUCCCUUUUUCAGAGAAUUGAUUUUUCUUUCAAUUGUUUUGAAUUAGAUUUAAUUGUUUUCGUUCAAUUUGUUUCUGGACAAUUAAUUAAACGUUAUCCCAAUGUCAUUGAUUGGUAAGGAGAUGAUGAGACGAGGUCUCAAUUUAGUUCCAAUGGUUAGUCGACAUCAACAGACUCGAGGAAAGAAACGAUUAUUACCCAUUUUUAGUGAGAAAUUACUCUGGCCUGCGAUACCUAUUAUUGGAUUGGCUUUCUAUUCAAUGUGGUUUGUUAGGCCUUCAGAAAUUUAUGAAGAUUAUCGAGCUGAUAUGGAGCCAUUGCUAACCUUAAGGGAAAAAAAUUUGAAUAGAUUAGUAAUUUAACUAAAAAAAAAACCUCGCUUUAAUUUCAUCAAUUUCAUUUUUGUUUCUUCUUCUUUUUAGAAAUUGCGAAGAUUAAUUGUCAAUAUAAUAUAAAUGUUGAUUAAAUUAGAAAAUUAAAACAUCAAACUUGUAUAAAUAA